CCACAUGACCUUAUCGCCACCCGCCAGGAGCUAUAUCUGCAGUCCACAUCUCACUUUUAAUUUUUUUCGGAAAGCUUUAGCGUGGUGGCACCCCGCCACCCAUCACCUGCAAGUCUAGCGGCCCGCCUUAAGCCUAUCUGCCACUUUAAUUAAUUAAAACCCAACAAAGGUUCACGGGAUAACCUUUUCCCUUCCCCAUCGCUGAAACAAUUACCCUUCAACCCCUUUCCUCUCCCCUAACCGCCGACCACCCCCUCACAUAUCACCCACCUUCUCGCCGUCAACCUCCAUAACCACCGAAUAACCCCUACUCUUCACUGCCGAUAUUACCCCUUAUUCCACAGACAACACAUCCCCUUCAACCAUUAGCCCACCAUGUUUUGUCCCCUACCCCCACUACCAAUAACCCACAUUGUCACCUAACCUUUUAUCACCAUUAAACUUUUUCACCCACUGGUUACCCACCGAAGAACAAAAGAAAAGAACCAUAAAAAAAAAAAAUCUCCAUUACCACCUACUCCCUCACUCAUCCGAUUUCAACCAUCCAUUCACCAUAUUUCACUUAAAGUCUAAAUUGUUCUUUGGGAUUCAAGUUUCAAACGAAAAAUCUCUCAAUCUCUUCUUAUUUCUCUCAAAUCCAAGAAUGUCAUGUUCAGGAUCAUGCAGUCGGCCAACAGGAAACGAGGCCAGAUACUCACCGAAGAGUGGGACACAGGCGGGUGAUGAGGUGUUGGAUGAUGCGGAGUAGAGCGAGGAUGACAGCUUAUGUCUUUUGUUUAUUUUUAUCUUUAUGCUGUUUUUAAUCCUCGUUUGUUGGUUUGUACUUAAAUACGUUAAACAGGUUGGUUGGGAUUUUGGGGAUGGUUGACUUUUGGUUGUUGGAUGUUCACACUAACACUUAGUAGCUUACAUAUUAUCUUUUGCUAGUG